rnacentral:rRNA from 1 species
UACGGAAGGUCCGGGCGUUAUCCGGAUUUAUUGGGUUUAAAGGGAGCGUAGGCCGGAGAUUAAGCGUGUUGUGAAAUGUAGACGCUCAACGUCUGCACUGCAGCGCGAACUGGUUUCCUUGAGUACGCACAAGGUGGGCGGAAUUCGUGGUGUAGCGGUGAAAUGCUUAGAUAUCACGAAGAACUCCGAUUGCGAAGGCAGCUCACUGGAGCGCAACUGACGCUGAAGCUCGAAAGUGCGGGUAUCGAACAGG